CGGUGGGUCUGCCUUUCCUAGCCCACUGACUCAAAUGUUAAUCUCCUUUGGCAACACCCUCACAGACACACCAAGGAUCAAUACUUUGCAUCCUUCAGUCCAAUCAAGUUGACACUCAGUAUUAACCAUCACACGUGCAAAGAGCACAGCUUCUUCUGCAGGUCCUACACAACACUGAGGGUGGAGGACAUGGUAGACAGAUGCAGCUUCCAGUUUACCUUCAUGGGUUCCUCAUUUUCCACUAAGUUCCAGUUCAUUCUUGGUCUCCAUCACGUCAUGUCCAGCUGUCCUUCCUGACUUCCAGCCUGGCUGACCUGUAUGAACUUUAGGCACAACACACAACACAGACACUUCAGCAGCCAAUGCAAUUGUGUAAGGUCUAAUUUCUAGAAUACAUUCCUUAUUCUAUGUCAGUCUUAGUGAAUCUACGUCUCUGCUCAAACUCUAACAGAUACAGUGGGGCUAGUAGCAGCAACCUCACAAGGUUACUUGAAGGAUCAAAUGAGAUAAUGGAUGAGAAACUGCUUUGAAAAGUAUAAUGUGCUUUAGGUGUGCCUUUUAAAAAAAUCACAUAUAGAAAAAUGUAUUAAUGAAACUCAAAAGUAUAAUUCUUUCAGAUAUUUUAAAAGCAAAACAAAACUGCAAGCAGAACUCCUGGUCUCCCUAAGCCCUGCUCCACUAUUUUCUCUCCAGUUGCUCAAGCCACAGUUCCUAGAUGACCUUUGACACCGUUCUCUCCUACACACCCUUGCACAUAUUCAGAGCUUAGUCACAUCUCAUUGUCUACACUGCUAACACCCUGGUGCAAGCCACCAUGCCUCUUGUCAGGAUUAUGGCAACAGUCUUCUCCCUGGCGCCUUGCUUCUACUCUUGCCCCAAAAUGAUCUGGUAAAAACUCGAGUUAGAUUAUCUCAUUCUCUGCUCAAAGCCAGUCAGUUUCUUCCCUCUUGGAGGAAAAUCCAAAUUCCUCUCGAUGACCUGACAGGCGCUUGGCUCUUCCUGCAUCUCUCAUCUCAUUUCCUACCACCUUUUCCCUCGCUCACUCAGCUCACCAUACUGGCUUCCUUGCUGCCCUUAAACAUGCCAAGUGUGUGCCAUUUCCUAAAACCCUUUCUCCUGUUUUUCAGAGAGAAGGAAUCAUACCCUGAAAUGAUGUGUCUCUAGUGUGACUGUUGGCUUAGACACAUCUGGGAACUUCGCUUGCCACCCGUACCCAAGUAUUUACCAGUAAACUAUACGACCACAGACCAAGCUGGAUGCCAUUCUGGAAAACGCUUUUUACCAAGAAUUAAAUGUGAAGUGAGGUUGCUGUUAGUCUUAUGGUUAACAAUGACAAUUUAGAUUUUAAUUAUUACUACCCACAACAACAUCUUGCAUCUCUGUAGCUAUCCAGGGUUUUCAAAAUGCUUUCAUGUCUGUUAUUUACUUUGGUCCUCACAACAGCACUAACAGUUGGGUAUUAUUUUCCCCUGUUUUACAGAUAGGAAAACUAAGGCUCAGAGGAAUCAAUCAACUCCAGAGUCAAAGAGAUAGUGGUUGACAAGAUUAACUUUCAGGCAGAUUUGCUGAGUCAAGGCUGUGUACUUUUUGUACUACAAUUAGGAGCUUGCCAGGAGAACCUUAUUCCUAAGUAGGGUCAGAUGCAAUGCGAAGAGUUAUUCUUGCCAUUGCCACCGCCCAUGAUUCAAAAUGCUCCCAGCAUGCCGAAACUUUUGAAAAUUUUACACUUCCUUUUCAAUGCAAAUAUCCCUGGGAUUUGUGUGCAGUCAACCAGUUUGCUUUCCUCCUGAGGUACCACCACAGCAGAAAUGGCCUUUUUUAUUAAUUAGCUGGGUGUGGGGGUGUGCACCUGUAAUCCCAGCUACUCAGGAAGCUGAGGUAGAAGAAUCACUUGAACCCAGGAAGGCAGAGGUUGCAAUGAGCCAAGAUUGCACCACUGCACUCCAGCCUGGGUAGCAGAGUGAGACUAUGUCUCAAAAAAAAAAAUGGCCUUUUUUGUUUUAUGGGAAAUUAAGGAAGAGAGAAAGGAGAAGUGUUAGGUGACAAAAAUUAUUGGCUUAAUGAGACUUUAAUCAUGCUCCUGAACCUUCUCCUAGGCCCAUCUGUACACUUCCUUAAAAAAUCCAGUUUUAACAAGAACCCUGCUAAGUCAUUUUAGCAAGAAUGCCCCACCCUCUGUAUAUGAUCAGGUUUCUCAUCCUCCACCCUCCACCAUCCCCCAGGUGACUUCAGACCACCCUGGCCUGCCUUCAGCAAGAAUCCUGUUAGGUCUGUGUAUUAGUCAGUUCUUGCACUGCUAUACAGAAGUACCCGAGACGGGGGUAUUUAUAAAGAAAAGAGGUUUAAUUGGCACACAGUUCCGCAGGCUGCACAGGGAGCAUGAUACUGGCAUCUGCUUGGUUUCUGAGAAGGCCUCAGGAAACUUACAAUCAUGGCAGAAGGUAAAGAGGGAGCCAGCAUAUCACAUGGCUAGAGCAGAAGGAAAAGGAGCAAGGGGAAGAGGUGCCACACAUUUUUAAACAACCGGGUCUUGCGAUCACUCACUCACUAUCCCAAGAACAGCACCAACGGGAUGGUGCUAAACUAUUCAUGAAGGACCACCCCAUGAGCCAAUCAUCUCCCCCCAGGCCCCACCUCCAAUACUGGGGAUUACAAUUCGACAUGAUAAUUUGGUGGGGACAUAGAUCUAAACCAUAACAGUCAGUUUAGCCAGAAUUCUCCUUACUAAUUUCUUAGUAAUUUUCCAUCCACCCACUCCCACCAUGCUCCUUGGCUAUAAAUUCCUACUUACCCAUGUUAUAUUCAGGGUUAAACCCAAUCUCUCUCUCACUCUGCAAAAUCCCAUUGCAGUGCUCCCUAUACCUAUUGCAAUGAUCAUGAAUAAAGUCUUCCUUACUGUGCUUUAGCAAGUAUUAUUGAAUACUUUUUCUUUUGGCAUAGGAAGUAUAUCAUUCGGGUAAGUUGAGUAGGCAUAUUAUCCUCACCUUUUGAUUAGGCAAUAUGAUUCAAAGUGCUCAAAACAAGUUGUCGAAGGGCAAAAUCAUAUCGUGUUGUUUCCCUUGUAGAAUGAAGGGUAUUGGAUUAAAUAUUGCUAAAUUUGUUUCUAACAUCCCAUGAGCCCAACUUACUGAACUUUUGCAGCAAAGUUGUGAUGAGGGGACUGCAGAGAAGUGUAUCCUUUAAAAAAGUUAGUAAAGGUCAUAUUUCUCAGCACUACAGGCCUGCCCUAUAAAAGCAAACAAGUGUUUCAAAAAAAAAUGGGAUUUUCUGUCACUCAAGUAAGAACCUUGAUUAUAUCACUGGGACAUUUGUCGCAGACCAGAAUUGCAAUGUUCUUGGCAAAGUGGAAAAGAUUCUGGAAUUUGGAGCUAAGAAACCCUGAGUGUAUGUGUCAUGGUUCUCAUACUUAUUGUUUAUUACUAAUACUAUUACUAUUAUUUUGGGCACUGAUACCAGUAUUUUGUGUUUUCCCUGCAUUAUCUUACUUAACUCAUCCCACCCCACAGCAAUUCUGUUAGGGAGAUGUUAUCACCUCCAUUUUAUAUAUGAAGAAAUGGAGGCUUAAGAUCACAAAGCUGCUAUGUGUAAAAGCUGGGAUUUUUUUUUUUCUUAUUUUCUUUUUAGAGACAUGGUGUCAUUUUGUCAUCCAGGCUGGAGUGUAGUGGCAUAAUCAUAGGUCACUGCAGCCUCGAACUCCUGGGUUGAAACAAUCUUCCUGUCUCAGCCUCCCAAGUAGCUGGGACCACAGGCCUGCAUGACCAUGCCAACUAGGGCUGGGAUUUUAACAUGGGUCUCUCCCACUCUAAAAUUGAUGUUAGUCACGAGUUUCAGGGAGGGCACAAAACUAGAGGUGAUUGCUUUAAUUGAAUUUAAAAGAUUUUAGGUAAAGUCCAUUUGAAUCCUGAAGGUUGCUUACUACUAUGAGAUACUGCUUCUUUGCAGGAUUGUUUUGAGAUUAGGGAAACCCAUUGAUAUGGUUUGGCUGUGUCCCCACAGAAGUCUCAUCUUGAAUUAUAGCUCCCAUAAUCCCCAUGUGUCAUGGGAGGAACCCAGUGGGAGGUAAUUUAAUCAUAGGGGCAGGCUUUCUCAUGCUCUUCUCAUGAUAGUGAAUAAUUUCAGGAGAUCUGAUAGUUUUAUGAAGGGCUGGUCCCCUACACAUGCUCUCUUGCCUGAUGCCAUGUAAGAUGUGCCUUUGCUCCUCCUUCACCUUCUGCCAUGAUUGUGAGGCCUCCCCAGCCAUGUGGAACUGUGAGUCCAUUAAACCUCUUUCCUUUAUCAAUUACCAGUCUUGGAUAUGUCCUUAUAGCAGCAUGAGAAUGGACUAAUACACCCAUAUAAAGGACCUAGCAUAAGGCCUGACACAUAGUUGGUACUGAGUAAAUGGAACAGGAGAUGGUAUAGGAUGGCGACUGGGAACCCCGCUCUGGAGUGAGACUUCCUAAGUACAAAUCACUUCUUCCACUUAGUAGCUGUGUGACCUUGGGAAAGUGAUAUAACCCCUCUAAGCCUAACUUUUCUCACAUAUAAAAUGGGGAUGAUAACCAAUGUAUUCCAAGGAUUAAAUGAAUGAACUGAUAUGCAUAAAGAACCUAGUACUGUUCCUGGUUCAUUGUUGUCAUCAGGAAAUUUUGACUAUUAUUGUUAUUAAUAUGAUUAUUUUUUUCAGUCUCCACCUGUGCUGCUCACUCCACGAACAAGGAUGGUGGCAGGAGUUGUGGUGCAGUGGCUCACACCUAUAAUCCCAGCACUUUGAGAGGCCAAGAACGGAGGAUUGCUUGAGCCCAGGAAUUUGAGACCAGUCUGAGCAACAUGGUGAAACCCCAUCUCUACAAAGAAUAAAAAAAAUUUGCCAGGCAUGAUGUGUGUGCCUGCAGUCCCAGCUACUUGAGAGGCUGAGGUAGGAGGCUCACUUGAGACCAGGAGGUUGAAGCUGCGGUGAGCCAUGGUUGUACUACUGCACUCCAGCCUGGGUGACAGAACAAGACCUUGUCUCAAAAAAUAAAUGUAUAAAAAGUAAAGAGUCUGGGGCCUCCCCACUCUCUCUCUUGCUUCCUCUCCUGCCAUGUGCCAUGCCUGCUCCCCCCUUGCUUUCUGCCAUGAGUAAAAGCUUCCUGAGGCCUCACCAGAAGCUGAGCAGAUGCUGGUGCCAUGCUUGUACAGCCUGCAGAACUGUGCCAAAUAAAUCUCUUGUCUUUAUGUUACCCAGUCUCAGGAAUUACUUCAUAGCAAUGCAAAAUGGACGAACACAGAAGUGAACACCCCACAUUUCCUUGGGGCCUCCUCUUCAGCAAGCUCCCUAGCAUGAUGAGAAGCCCUCCAAGGGUCUGCUGGACCCAUUUCUCCAUCUUCUAUCAGCUCGAGCUCCCUUGAGUGGCUUGGAUAGGGGGCACUGGUGAACUUGUGAGGAGAGCAGCUUACGGCCUGCGGUAGGGGACGGCAGAGAGUGAGGCAUGAAGGCAAGCAGGAGAGGAGAGUGCUGGCGUUCCUGGGAGGUGGGGCGGAGACACUGGGAACCCCAGGCUGGGUGUCAGAUUCCCAAGAUGUGGUGGUUUUGUAUUUACAUCCCUGUGUGGGCAGGUGGCCAGGGGGCCAGGGACUCAGGCAGUGAAGCCUCAGGCUGACUGUCACAGGUGCAACACUGGCAAGAGGGGGCUGGUAGCUGGUUUUUCCAAGGGCUCAAGGGCACCAUGGACUAUCCAGAGGUUUUGUGCUCUUUCUUGUGACAAAGUGUCUAAGGCCUCCAGGCUGCCCAAGCCUCAGGUCAGCAAAGGUAAGAGAGGGUGUGGGGUGUGCGGUGUGGAAAGGCCUGCUCCUAUCAGAUGAGGAUGCUUCUCCUGUCGAGAGGGCUUGUGUGUAACUGGGGCCAUGGACCUGCCCAGAGAUGAGUGACCAGCACUGCUCUUCAAGCAGUUAAAGCAGCCUGCUCUCCCCAGCAGAAAUGAACACGAAACAGCCAGACAUCAGACCCUGCACUACCUCCUGUCUCCAGGAUAUCCCAAGAGGCUCCUGGGGCAUCACCUCUGGCCUCAAUAAUGGAGUUGAAUUUUGAAUGUUUUUCCGUUGUCUUUAUCUUUUCUAAUGCUGGAAAUAUAAUCUGUUCAUACUAUGUGGUAAAAAUGAGGGAAAAGAUUAUGUCGACCACAAUGACUACCACAGUGGAAAAGAGCACGGUGUCUGACUUGUAGUUGUUGCUCAAUAAAUAUUUAUUGAAUGGCUGAAUAAAGCUCAUAUAGGGAAAAAGACUUGAAGGAAAAAAGUCCCUCUAAAACGUUGUUAUAGGCUGGUGGUAGGAUUAGUGGUGAUUUUUUAUAUUUUCUCUAGCCUCUGGAGUUUUGUAUUGUGGUAAUAAGGUUAUUAUAAUAACAGGUAAUUAUGACCAAAAGAAAAUUAGAGCCAAAAUUAAGUGGUCAUUUUCAUAUGAAGCACACCCCUGCUUGCAGCAUCAGCAGUUCAGCUGUGGGAACCAAGGCCUGUUGAGGGGACACAUUUUUACAUCUAUUUUAGGUCAUCUAUUUCCACCUCUGCUCUUCCUCUUCGAAAAGAAGGAAAUCUAUCUCUACUCCAAGUGAACACAUGCUGACCUUCUUCCUCCCUGAGCUAAUUAGUGCCUCGUCUAAAAUCCUGCUGAGAUUCUAGAGAGACAAGGUUUUAUAGUAGUUAAGGGGCUUUAGGAUAGACACAUCAUCUGGGUUCCUUAUAAUGUACUGUUAAUUCUGAAAAAAAUUUCUUCAUGAUAUAUAUAUAUUCUUAAAAAAGCAUUUUCUCCUGAUUUUAACACUGCAUUGCAACCUAGAUAAAGUCGGCAGUAAGCAGUUGGUCCCUUUACUGUGAACUAGCACAGUCCUAAAGAUUGUUGUCUAACCAAGAACAGAUUAGAUUGGGGGAAACCUACUCCCAGGCCUCCCUGUUCUUUUAUGAGGAAUUGGUCCUAAAAUAUUUACCCAUUAUCUUCCAACCCCAUAACCCCCCAGGCUAAAAUGAAGCCUGCUAAGGGAGCUGUGGCCGUUUGGGGAUUAGGCCAGAAGAGCUGGCUCCUGUGCUAUCGGGUGACAAGAUUCAGAGACAAGAUAGAAGCACCUUCCUCAUCUCCUGAGACCUAGUUGCCAACUCCACCGGAAAGUUACAGUUGCUAUGGUGACAGGCUACAUAAGGCACACUCAGCAGAAGUGCCAUUUAAAAAUAACUCCACCUUUUCUUUCUCCUUUUCUUUCCUUUUUGUUUUGAGACAGGAUCUAGCUCUACCACCCAGGCUGGAGUACAGUGGCACCAUCACAGCUCACUGCAGGCUUUACAUCCUGGGCUCAAGCGGUUCUCCUCACUCAGCCUCCCAAGUAGCUGGGACUACAGGCAUGCACUACCAUGCCCAGCUAAUUUAUUUAUUUAUUUUUUUUGUAGAGAUGGAGCCUCAUUAUGCUGCCCAGUCUGGUCUCGAACGCCUGGUCUCAAGGGAUUCUCCUACCUCAGCCUCCCUAAAUGCCGGGAUUAUAGGCAUAAGCCACUGCACCCGGCCCUCCACCUUUCCUUAAACUAUUUAGAAACCCUCUUUGACACAGGGUCAGGUUAAGAUGCUUGAACUUUUGGGUAAAGAACAAGGCUGGGUGCGGUGGCUCAUUUCUGUAAUCCUAGCACUUUGGGAGGCCGAGGUGGGUGGAUCGUUUGACUCCAAGAGUUCGAGACCAGCCUAGGCAACAUGGCGAGACACAGUCUCUACAAAAAAUACAAAAACAAAUUAGCCAGGUGUGAUGGUGUAUGCCUGUAGUCCCAGCUACUCAGGAGGCUGAGUGGGGAGGAUUGCUUAAACCUGGGAGGUUGAGGCUGCAGUGAGCCAUGAUGGCGCCACUGCAUUCCAGCCUGGGUGAUAGAGCCAGAUACUGUAAAAAAAAAAAAAAGAAAAAAGAAGAAAAAGAAGAAGAAGAAGAGGAAGAAGAAGAGAAAGAAGAAGAAGAGGAGGAGGAGGAGGAGGAAGAAAAGGAAGGGAAAAGAAAAGAAAAAUAACAUGUCUGAGAAUUUCUGGAAUGCAUCCUGAAUUCCUAAUAGAGAUUCCUGGAAUGCAUCCUUCACACCAGGGAAUUUCCAUUCCUUUCUUACUGGGCAAUUGUUAUGGGGAUCUGGAUUUAUUUCUGGCUCUGUCACUAACUUUUUGGGUAACUCUCAUUCAACUCACUUUGCGUCUUGAGGCCUCAGUUUCCUCAUCUGUAAAAUGGGAACAAUAAUCCUCACCUCAUAGGGUUGUUGUGCAGAUGAAAUGAGAUGAAAUAUGUGAGAAGACUCCCUUCCCUCCUUUCUCUACAAAAUGUCAGGACUGUGCCUAUCACGGGAGAACAGUAGUAUUCUCCUCAGUGCAGAUUGUCAACCGCUGUACCAACUUGUGCUAAGUCUGUUCACGCAUACCACCUGAGUCAGAACUUUUCAUUAAUGCCAGGGGAAUUCCAUCUCAGCUCCCCCAGUCAAGGAGUUCUGAGUCAUGUUUCAUCAAGGAUUUAUUGCAGGAGUACUUUGGGAAAGAAGGACGCGUGCUGCUCUGAGGAACUGGGACCACACCCUGGUGCUUGGGAAUUGGUGGCGGUGGUUGCAUUUUGUUGUUGGCUUGUUUGUUUUAAAACAUCCACAUCCUGUCCCACAGCUGGAGCAUAAAAUCAAGCUUUAGUUGUGGGAUUUUUGUUUACUUUAUUCACUAGUUGGGCUGGUCAGGAGUUUAACGGAGGUCAAUGCCUUUAACAUUGCUUGGAUUCUAUAAAGAGAAUUCUAGCAGUUUGUGCUACGAAAUAUCCUAGUGUAAAAGAGGAACUUAAAAAAAUUGACUCACACGGUCUGGUUGCUUUUAGGAUAAAUUAAUUUUUGUUUUGCUUACAAAAAUAAUAACAACUUCUGAAUGUUUAUAUGUUUUCGUUUUGCACAGGAAGCUUUGGCAAUAGAAAAUGUUGGUAGAAAAAGUAAUUAAAGAAAUAAAUGUGGCAACUCUCACAGCUGUAAAUCAUUGAUUUAGUCCCAUUUGUCCCACCCCUUACCCCCCAAAAAAAGAAAGAAGAAAGAAAGAAAAGAGGGAGAGGGAGAAAGACAGAGAAAAAAGAAAAAGAAGGAAAGAAAGAGAGUUAGCCUUUUUGCCAGAAGAUC
rnacentral:lncRNA from 10 species